CAAGUUUUGUGUACAGUAUGUGUCUAGCAGANCCACCAAGGGCCCUCUUCCCACGUUCUUUCCUUGGGGUUUUUUUUUAGCCCUUUCAAGAACUCUGGGGACUUUCGAACUGAUGAACCUUGCGCGAACCCAAAAGAUGCAUUCAGAGCCACUUCGGCUGCUGACCA
rnacentral:misc_RNA from 1 species